CUGUUCCAACUGCUCAGAGGAGUCCUAAGGAAAAUGCCAAAGUUCUGAAAGAGCACUCAAAAAACAGAUGCAUUAAAAACUGAGGGAGGAGGACACACAGCACUUGCACCUGGACGCUUCAGUGUAUUUUGCCCUGUUCCCAUGUUUAUGUCAUGAAAAACAAAGCAAGUUCCAUGUGCCAGGGAAACAGUGCCAGCCACCAUUUCCUGCUGCGUCUGCUGGGAGGGACCAUUCUGCCAAAACAUCUACAGCUGAUCCAGGGGGGAUUCCUUUAAAAGUUAAGGAGAGACAGAAAGGGGAGUCUCCUAUGCCAUUCAUCUCAUUUUUAUACUGAAAUUCUAAAAUGGAUCAGAGCUCUCCCUGACCAUCAGGGAACAGCAGAAUCAUCAUUAAAGGAAGUUCCAGGCUUGUUCCCACCCCAUCACAGACAGACAGAGACAUCUCCCUUUUCCUACAGGCAUCACAGCACAUCUGGGAUCUCACAUGCAAGGAUUUCAGCUGCAAAUUG